AUGACACACAAGUCCCCGUCCGGACUGGAGCUGGGAAGCUGUCUCAAGGUGAUAUGGAGAAGACGAUCCGAUUCAGCAAACCUGGCAUUUGCUCCCCGCCUCCCACAAGGGCCACCUUCACAGACCAGGAUGUCUUCCCCUCGCGGGAUCCGGGUUACAGCAGGGACAGCACUGCUGUUCCCGAGUAACAGAGAGGAGAGGGGACCCGUGACAGAGCAACCCGUGCAAACCACCGCCACGUCCUGGAGCCGAGUCUGUGACAGCCGCGGUGGCGGGCAUCAGCCCUUCCCUGCCCUUCGCCUGGCUGGGGUGCUCCCUCCCGAAGACACACAGGCUCCUCACCUCAUUUCCCUUUUCCAGACCCCUGAGCAGGCGACAGCCAGGGAAACGAAUGCCACCGCCAAAGGCACUGAACGGGAGGGAGGUGCAGAGGGAGCGGAGCGUGGAGUCCUGGGGUCCCGAGCGGGGUUGUCCUCUUCCUCCAACAGGGGAAGAGAAGAGCGGAGCGGCUCAAACAGCAGCCGAAAGCGGCCAGGGCGAGGCCGUCACUGCGACAGCGCACAGCUACGCUCUCUUAAACGCUCGUUUUGUGCCAGUACUAGAAUGAGAAACUGCGUUGCAUUUUUUAAAUUUGAAAAAUACAGAAAAACAUCAAAAAAAGUAAAACUGUCCCUUAAGUCCGCCACCAAGCGAUCACAUAAAUCCGCCAGCAGAGUCUCUCUCUGCGCCUGGGGUGCGGGGUGGAGUGGUUCGGAGGGACCCGGGAGCGGUGUGAGUUCGCCCUCCCACCCCACCUGUCCGGGACGCGUCCUGGCUAUCCAGGAACCACCAGGUCUGCAACUCCCCUCUGGGUUAUUGGUUACGGAUAUUUAACUUCGUAUGACAGUCGCAUAACUUUUCUCGCAUUCGCUCCUUGGUGAUCUCCUUGGGGUUGUCAUCAUCUUACUCUCAAGGGCUGAUAACCCGUCUUUAGGGUGUGCAAGCCUUCCUGGGGCGUGUGCUUUUAGGACAGUCUGUGUCAGAAUUCACCCACAUUUUUAUCUUUGUAAAUAUUGCAAAACUGACGGCCCCCAAAGGGUAGUGCCCGCUAUUUCUCCAACUCCAUGUCUCUUUGCCCAUGCUGUUAUUAGAUAUUAUCAAUUUUUUUGGCUGGAUCCAAUUUAUGAAUAAAAAGUGGUAUUUUGUUAUUUUA
rnacentral:lncRNA from 1 species